GACGAACGCUGGCGGCGUGCCUAAUACAUGCAAGUAGAACGCACAGUUUAUACCGUAGCUUGCUCCACCAUAGACUGUGAGUUGCGAACGGGUGAGUAACGCGUAGGUAACCUGCCUGGUAGCGGGGGAUAACUAUUGGAAACGAUAGCUAAUACCGCAUAAUAUUAAUUAUUGCAUGAUAAUUAAUUGAAAGGUGCAAUUGCACCACUACCAGAUGGACCUGCGUUGUAUUAGAUAGUAGGUGAGGUAACGGCGCACCUAGGCGACGAUACAUAGCCGACCUGAGAGGGGGAUCGGCCACACUGGGACUGAGACACGGCCCAGACUCCUACGGGAGGCAGCAGUAGGGAAUCUUCGGCAAUGGACGAAAGUCUGACCGAGCAACGCCGCGUGAGAGAAGAAGGUUUUCGGAUCGUAAAGCUCUGUUGUAAGAGAAGAACGGGUGUGAGAGUGGAAAGUGCACACUGUGACGGUAUCUUACCAGAAAGGGACGGCUAACUACGUG
rnacentral:rRNA from 1 species